ACCCGAUGUGCCGAAAGGUGAAAUAUUCAUAGCCUGAAGAUGAGCUCGCGUCUGAUUAGCUAGUUGGUGAGGUAAUGGCUCACCUAGGCGACGAUCAGUAGCUGGUCUGAGAGGAUGAUCAGCCACACUGGGACUGAGACACGGCCCAGACUCCUACGGGAGGCAGCAGUGGGGAAUUUUCCGCAAUGGGCGAAAGCCUGACGGAGCAAUACCGCGUGAGGGAGGAAGGCCUGUGGGUUGUAAACCUCUUUUCUCAAGGAAGAAGACAGUGACGGUACUUGAGGAAUCAGCAUCGGCUAACUCCGUGCCAGCAGCCGCGGUAAUACGGAGGAUGCAAGCGUUAUCCGGAAUUAUUGGGCGUAAAGCGUCCGCAGGUGGCUAGUCAAGUCUGCUGU
rnacentral:rRNA from 1 species